GACGAACGCUGGCGGCGUGCUUAACACAUGCAAGUCGAACGGAAAGGCCCUGCUCUUGUGGGGUGCUCGAGUGGCGAACGGGUGAGUAACACGUGAGUAACCUGCCCUUGACUUUGGGAUAACUUCAGGAAACUGGGGCUAAUACCGGAUAGGAGCUCCUGCUGCAUGGUGGGGGUUGGAAAGUUUCGGCGGUUGGGGAUGGACUCGCGGCUUAUCAGCUUGUUGGUGGGGUAGUGGCUUACCAAGGCUUUGACGGGUAGCCGGCCUGAGAGGGUGACCGGCCACAUUGGGACUGAGAUACGGCCCAGACUCCUACGGGAGGCAGCAGUGGGGAAUAUUGCACAAUGGGCGGAAGCCUGAUGCAGCAACGCCGCGUGCGGGAUGACGGCCUUCGGGGUGUAAACCGCUUUCGCCUGUGACGAAGCGUGAGUGACGGUAAUGGGUAAAGAAGCACCGGCUAACUACGUG
rnacentral:rRNA from 1 species